UACAGAGGUCUCAAGCGUUUGUUCGGAUUCAUUGGGCGUAAAGGGUGCGUAGGCGGCGCGGUAAGUCGGGUGUGAAAUCUCGGGGCUUAACUCCGAAACUGCAUUCGAUACUGCCGUGCUUGAGGACUGGAGAGGAGACUGGAAUUUACGGUGUAGCGGUGAAAAUGCGUAGAUAUCGUAAGGAAGACCAGUGGCGAAGGCGGGUCUCUGGACAGUUCCUGACGCUGAGGCACGAAGGUCAGGGGAGCAAACGGG
rnacentral:rRNA from 1 species